rnacentral:piRNA from 1 species
UAAUGAAUAUAAGUCAGAAAAGUGGC